rnacentral:lncRNA from 1 species
CCAGGAGUUUCAUCAACCAGGGAAGAUUGACCCUAACACAGAAGACUAGAAACCAACUCUACACCCAGACAAACUGUCCCAAACUGUCACACUUCACAUCUAUUCUUUUCCUAAAAUUCAUUAACUCUCUCCUAAGUUGCCUGCAUCUCCCCUCCCCUUCCCCUAAUAAUAUAUAAGCUCUCAAUUCUCACCAUAUUUUUUUUUUUGGUAUUCACUUUUUUUCCUGUAAUUCCCCAUGUACAUAAUAUUAAAAAUUAAUAAAUUUGUAUACUUUUUCUCCUGUUAAUCGGCCUGUCAGUUUAUUUCAUAGACUGAGCUAUUGAAGCCAGGGGUGGUUGAAGGAAAGUCUUUCUUUCCUCCCCUACACUCUCCACUGGAUAAAUGCAGAGGACUCUGAAGACAUAGGAGGCGGCAGAGCCACAAGAUGGAAGGAGCCUGGGCCUUUCAUUCACCAUGUGGAGAGAAACAACCAGCUGAUCAGGAACUCGCACUUUGCACUCUUAGAUCAAAAUCUUGACUUGAAAUGCCUUGAAGACAUUCAGAGGAGACGUCAUAUAGACUUUUGUAUAUGUGGGUCCAGAGCUCCAAAAAAAGGUUGGGCUGGAGACAUAAAUUUAUAAAGUAUCUGUGCAGAGGUGGUAGCUAAAGCUAUGAGAAUACAUGGCACUGCCACAGGAGAAGGUAUGAAGGGAAAGGGGAGAAGUCUUAGGACCAAGUCUGGUGAGACAAUAAUACUUAAUAACAGGAUGGAAUAGAAUGAGUCUGCAAAGAAGAGAAAGAGAAAGUGAUGAUACAGGCAGUGGGACAACUGGGAGAGUGUGGAGUCAUGGAUGCCAAGGAGCUAGAGACUGACAGCCCUGAGAGGCCAUGUGAGAUGAGGCCUGAAAAGUUUCAACUGGAUUUAAAGACAGGGACGCCAUGGAGGACCUUAAUGAACACUGUUUUAGAAAGAGCCCGAAGUCAGGUUGGAGGGCUGAGGAAUGUGUAGGAGGAGAGGAAAUGAGGUCAGCAAGCAGAGAAAUUAUUUUGAGUUGUUUAGUGGUGAAGGGGAGGAAGGAGCUGGGGCAGAAGCUCGAAGCUGAGAACCAAAACCUUCUAACCCCCGCACUCAGCCUGGACAUAGAGAAGUGAAACCACACCUUACUGCCCACAGUAGCACGCGCUUCUCUCCCACUGUCUAUAUUAGCAUUUCUUUUCUCUUUUGGGACUGUCCUCCCAAGCAAAUAGUGCAAUUGUUUACUACAGAAACUUCCCCAAAGACCCAUCAACUCUUCAAUGAAAAACAUCUACAGUUUGUACCUGAAGAUUCUUUGAAUCUCUCACUUUGCUAUCUCUGCCAAUCCUGGACUGUGGUAUCAUGAUUGUUACUCCAUCCUCAAUCCCCACACUGAAAGACCCACCUCUAACCAAACCUCCAGUUCUGGGUGAACUCUGACCUUGUCUUCCCCCCUCUGAAUACCAAGCUUUGCUGUUCUCCCCACCACCUGCUGCGAUGAGCCCCAACGCGCUCGGCUUUGUCUCCUCAAUAGGGGUGCUGGGAAUAUGUGGGGAGCCAGCUUAUGACAACGCGGAUCAAGAAAGAAGUCAAGUUUGGCAUUUUUUGGUUUUGCUUUGCUGUAGUUGAUAAAUGGGAAAGACUUGAGGGUACUCAAAGCCAGUUGAGAGGGAAAGGUCAAAUAAGCAGAAGAGAGAUGUGGUCAGGU